rnacentral:rRNA from 1 species
GACGAACGCUGGCGGCGUGCUUAACACAUGCAAGUCGAACGGUAAGGCCCUUCGGGGUACACGAGCGGCGAACGGGGGAGUAACACGUGGGUGAUCUGCCCUGCACGCCGGGAUAAGCCUGGGCAACUGGAUCUAAUACCGGUUAGGACCACUGCCAGCAGUGGUGGUGGUGGAAAGCUGUUGCGGUGUGGGAUGGGCCGGCGGCCUAUCAGCUUGUUGGUGGGGUGAUGGCCUACCAAGGGGACGACGGGUAGCCGGCCUGAGAGGGUGACCGGCCACACUGGGACUGAGACACGGUUCGUACACCUACGGGUGACAGCAGUCGAGAAUAUUCGACAAUGGGCGAAAGCCUGAUCGAGCGACGCCGCGUGCGGGAAGAAGGCCUUCGGGUCGUAAACCGCUUUUGCCAUGGAAAAAUUUUGAUUGUACAUGGAGAAUAAUGGGUUGCUAACUCUGUGCCAGCCGCCGCUGUAA